rnacentral:tRNA from 1 species
UAGGUAAAAGCCAAAGAGAGGCGCCUGGCUGUUAAUCAGGUUAUUGCGGUGUUAAGGUGCCGCUUAUCUAG